UGCCGCGUGAGUGAUGAAGGCCUUAGGGUCGUAAAGCUCUUUCGCCAGGGAUGAUAAUGACAGUACCUGGUAAAGAAACCCCGGCUAACUCCGUGCCAGCAGCCGCGGUAAUACGGAGGGGGUUAGCGUUGUUCGGAAUUACUGGGCGUAAAGCGCACGUAGGCGGAUCAGAAAGUUGGGGGUGAAAUCCCAGGGCUCAACCCUGGAACUGCCUCCAAAACUCCUGGUCUUGAGUUCGAGAGAGGUGAGUGGAAUUCCGAGUGUAGAGGUGAAAUUCGUAGAUAUUCGGAGGAACACCAGUGGCGAAGGCGGCUCACUGGCUCGAUACUGACGCUGAGGUGCGAAAGUGUGGGGAGCAAACAGGAUUAGAUACCCUGGUAGUCCACACCGUAAACGAUGAAUGCCAGUCGUCGGGUAGUAUACUAUUCGGUGACACACCUAACGGAUUAAGCAUUCCGCCUGGGGAGUACGGUCGCAAGAUUAAAACUCAAA
rnacentral:rRNA from 1 species